CGGAAUGUGGCUCAGUUUGGCUAGAGCGUACGGCUGGGGGCCGUGAGGUCGCAGGUUCAAAUCCUGUCAUUCCGA
rnacentral:tRNA from 1 species